GCAAGUCGAGCGGACAGAUGGGAGCUUGCUCCCUGAUGUUAGCGGCGGACGGGUGAGUAACACGUGGGUAACCUGCCUGUAAGACUGGGAUAACUCCGGGAAACCGGGGCUAAUACCGGAUGCUUGAUUGAACCGCAUGGUUCAAUUAUAAAAGGUGGCUUUUAGCUACCACUUACAGAUGGACCCGCGGCGCAUUAGCUAGUUGGUGAGGUAACGGCUCACCAAGGCGACGAUGCGUAGCCGACCUGAGAGGGUGAUCGGCCACACUGGGACUGAGACACGGCCCAGACUCCUACGGGAGGCAGCAGUAGGGAAUCUUCCGCAAUGGACGAAAGUCUGACGGAGCAACGCCGCGUGAGUGAUGAAGGUUUUCGGAUCGUAAAACUCUGUUGUUAGGGAAGAACAAGUACCGUUCGAAUAGGGCGGUACCUUGACGGUACCUAACCAGAAAGCCACGGCUAACUACGUGCCAGCAGCCGCGGUAAUACGUAGGUGGCAAGCGUUGUCCGGAAUUAUUGGGCGUAAAGCGCGCGCAGGCGGUUUCUUAAGUCUGAUGUGAAAGCCCCCGGCUCAACCGGGGAGGGUCAUUGGAAACUGGGGAACUUGAGUGCAGAAGAGGAGAGUGGAAUUCCACGUGUAGCGGUGAAAUGCGUAGAGAUGUGGAGGAACACCAGUGGCGAAGGCGACUCUCUGGUCUGUAACUGACGCUGAGGCGCGAAAGCGUGGGGAGCGAACAGGAUUAGAUACCCUGGUAGUCCACGCCGUAAACGAUGAGUGCUAAGUGUUAGAGGGUUUCCGCCCUUUAGUGCUGCAGCAAACGCAUUAAGCACUCCGCCUGGGGAGUACGGUCGCAAGACUGAAACUCAAAGGAAUUGACGGGGGCCCGCACAAGCGGUGGAGCAUGUGGUUUAAUUCGAAGCAACGCGAAGAACCUUACCAGGUCUUGACAUCCUCUGACAACCCUAGAGAUAGGGCUUCCCCUUCGGGGGCAGAGUGACAGGUGGUGCAUGGUUGUCGUCAGCUCGUGUCGUGAGAUGUUGGGUUAAGUCCCGCAACGAGCGCAACCCUUGAUCUUAGUUGCCAGCAUUCAGUUGGGCACUCUAAGGUGACUGCCGGUGACAACCGGAGGAAGGUGGGGAUGACGUCAAUCAUC
rnacentral:rRNA from 1 species